GGAUAACCUACCCUUAGGACCGGGAUAACCCUGGGAAACUGGGGAUAAUACUGGAUAGGCAAUUAUUCCUGUAAUGGUUUUUUGUUUAAAUGUUUUUUCGCCUAAGGAUGAGUCUGCGGCCGAUUAGGUAGUUGGUUAGGUAAUGGCUUACCAAGCCGUUGAUCGGUACGGGUUGUGAGAGCAAGAGCCCGGAGAUGGAACCUGAGACAAGGUUCCAGGCCCUACGGGGUGCAGCAGGCGCGAAACCUCCGCAAUGUGAGAAAUCGCGACGGGGGGAUCCCAAGUGCCAUUCUUAACGGGAUGGCUUUUCAUUAGUGUAAAGAGCUUUUGGAAUAAGGGCUGGGCAAGACCGGUGCCAGCCGCCGCGGUAACACCGGCAGCUCUAGUGGUAGCAGUUUUUAUUGGGCCUAAAGCGUCCGUAGCCGGUUUAAUAAGUCUCUGGUGAAAUCCUGUAGCUUAACUGUGGGAAUUGCUGGAGAUACUAUUAGACUUGAGACCGGGAGAGGUUAGAGGUACUCCCAGGGUAGAGGUGAAAUUCUGUAAUCCUGGGAGGACCGCCUGUUGCGAAGGCGUCUAACUGGAACGGUUCUGACGGUGAGGGACGAAAGUUAGGGGCGCGAACCGGAUUAGAUACCCGGGGUAGUCCUAACUGUAAACGAUGCGGACUUGGUGUUGGGGGUGGCUUUGAGCUGCU
rnacentral:rRNA from 1 species